rnacentral:tRNA from 1 species
ACUUUAUUAGUAUAAUAAGUACAUAUAAUUUCCAAUUAUAGAGUUUUAAUUAAAUAAAGU